UUUUAAUCACCUUUGUUUUAAUUCUAAAUUAAUUGGCAAUUGCAAUCAAGAUGUAAUUUUUUAUAGAGUCACAAUUCACAAGAACUUGACAUGACUGUCUUCUUAAUAGAUCCACUAGACACACCAAUUGAUCCUUUUGGUAUUUUUCCAAAGCCAUGCUAUUUAUCUUUGAAAAAUAACAACUAUUCUUAGCACUAGCCCUUGGUGUCUUUAUUGGGGAGUCUUACUUUUUUGCUCUAUUUCUUCAUCAAUUUGGUGGCCCUCAAGAUUAUAAAUCUAUUAUAAUUUAUUGCUACUUGAACUUUGAUAUUUUUGACAAUCUUUUAACUGAUAGUUUAUUUCUUGACAAUAAAAAUAUAAUCCCUUUUGUCCCAAUAUUUGUCAACUUUGUGGUGUUAAUGGUCCUUGCAAAGCAUUAAUUUCCAUCACUGUUGGUUGUUACGCCACAGAUUGGCUAGUGGCAUAAGAUUCAAAGCUACAGAUCGUAUUCCAUAAUUUUUUUAAAUCUAUAGCAUUAAUCCAUUCUAAUAUCCUAAUUGCCUCCUCAAAUAUUUAUGGAUCUCUUAAUUCUACCUCUUAUUGGACUACAGAUUUCAACUCUCAUACAAACCAAUCCAUCAUCUUUGCUUUUGAGUUGUUACCAAUUUGGAGACAUAAGAACUUAAAUUGAGAAACAUAAUCUUGUACUAAUCUAGAUUGUGUAAG
rnacentral:lncRNA from 1 species